UUCUGUUUUGCCGAUUUCGACCCCUCAACAAACAUUUUGCGUUUUCCGAAGACCCGUCCGUCGGAUUUUCGAUCGGAUCACGCCAGCACGUUCAGCACGACUGGGGCAUCGAAUCUACCAUUUCGUUUCGUCCGAUUUGGUUGCCGAUUUGUGACAAAACCAACCCUCUCCAAUCUUCAAAAACCACACCUAUACAUAUAAAUCUAAUAAAACUCUUUUUCUUGAAAACCGUGAAUCAGAACCCAAAUUCGAUAGUGCCAUUGGGUCCAGAAUAGUUGAACCGUCAAGAUAUUGGAUCACUAUGAACGGAGUCCAAUACACACCAAAAGCCUUCUCCACUCAUUGGCUUCUCCGAAAAAUCAGAGUUACUAUUCACUUUAAGUAAUUAGUACAGGACACAUAACUUCUUCAUGCUAACUCGUUUUCUCCUGAAACUUGACGACUGCUUAUGUAAUUACAUUACACACAAAAUCAUCGUCAACAGAAGGUUUAGCUAUACUGUCAAAACCACGGAUAUUACACUAUCGCUUCGUAUACAAGAAAAUUUUCUAUGUAUACGACGGGUUUGUUAGCGUGCCCGGAGAAACGUGUAAUCCGGAGCAUGCCAGUAAAUUUAUAAAAAUAAUAAUAAUAUAAUAGAAUAGUAGCACUAGUAAUUGUUGAAGUAUUGAUUAUAAUAAUCAUAACUAUAAUAAGAUAUUAAAAAUAAUAUUGUAAUUAUAUUAUUAUAAAGUACUUUAAUAAUGUUAGAUAACAUGCAUACUUCAAUAGUAAUAUAUAAAAGUACUACAAAAUAAUAUAAAUAAAUACUUGAAGGCAAUUUAUUUUAAAAUAUUAUAGAUUUAAUAUAUUUAUUACAUUACAUAAAAUUUUUAUUUUAUAUUGUAAGAUAAUAUAUAGUAUAAAUUUAUAAAAAUAAUAAUAAUAUAAUAGUAGCACUAGUAAUUAUUGCAGUAUUAAUUAUAAUAAUCAUAAUGAUAAUAAGAUAUUUAAUACUAUAUGAUUAUUAUAAAAUUAUUAUUAUUACUAUUAUGUUAUUAUUAUAAGAUAUUUUAAUAUUAUAUGAUUAUUUAAAAUUAUUAACAUGUUUUUAUUUUAUUU
rnacentral:lncRNA from 1 species